rnacentral:rRNA from 1 species
ACGGGAGGCAGCAGUGGGGAAUAUUGGGCAAUGGGCGCAAGCCUGACCCAGCAACGCCGCGUGAGGGAAGAAGGUUUUCGGAUUGUAAACCUCUGUCCUCGGGGAAAAGGAGAAGAUGGUACCCGGGGAGGAAGCUCCGGCUAACUACGUGCCAGCAGCCGCGGUAAUACGUAGGGAGCGAGCGUUGUCCGGAAUAAUUGGGCGUAAAGGGCGCGUAGGCGGCCUGUUAAGUCUGGAGUGAAAGUCCUGCUUUUAAGGUGGGAAUUGCUUUGGAUACUGAUGGGCUUGAGUGCGGGAGAGGUUAUCGGAAUUCCCAGUGUAGCGGUGAAAUGCGUAGAGAUUGGGAAGAACACCAGUGGCGAAGGCGGGUAACUGGACCGCAACUGACGCUGAGGCGCGAAAGUGUGGGGAGCAAACAGGAUUAGAUACCCUGGUA